GGCGAACGGGCGAGUAACGCGUAUCUAACCUGCCCUUGUGUGAGGCAAAACUAUGGAGACAUAGCUAAUUCCUCAUACGCUCUAAGAAAUGAAAAUACUUAGAGGAAAGAUUUAUCGCACAAGGAGGGGGAUGCGUCCUAUCAGGUAGUUGGUGAGGUAACGGCUCACCAAGCCUAUGACGGGUAGCCGGUCUGAGAGGAUGUCCGGCCGCAAUGGAACUGAGACACGGUCCAUACUCCUACGGGAGGCAGCAGUGGGGAAUAUUGGACAAUGGGCGAAAGCCUGAUCCAGCGAUUCUGCGUGGAGGAUGAAGCCUUGUGGGGUGUAAACUUCUUUUCUGGGAGAAGACGAAUGACGGUAUCUCAGGAAUAAGAGACGGCUAACUACGUGCCAGCAGCCGCGGUAAUACGUAGGUCUCAAGCGUUAUCCGGAAUUACUGGGCGUAAAGCGUCUGUAGCCGGAUGUAUAAGUCUGUCUUUAAAUACUCCGAUUCAAUCGGAGAAAAGGGAUAGAUACUGUACAUCUAGAGGAUUUAGGGGUUAGUGGAAUUUCGGUGGAGCGGUGA
rnacentral:rRNA from 1 species